CCUACGGGAGGCAGCAGUGGGGAAUAUUGCACAAUGGGGGAAACCCUGAUGCAGCGACGCCGCGUGAGUGAGGAAGUAUUUCGGUAUGUAAAGCUCUAUCAGCAGGGAAGAAAAUGACGGUACCUGACUAAGAAGCCCCGGCUAACUACGUGCCAGCAGCCGCGGUAAUACGUAGGGGGCAAGCGUUAUCCGGAUUUACGGGGUGUAAAGGGAGCGUAGACGGUUAACCAAGUCCGAAGUGAAAACCCAGGGCUGAACCUGGGGACUGCGUUUGAAACUGAGUAGCUAGAGUGCAGGAGAGGGAAGCGGAAUUCCUAGUGUAGCGGUGAAAUGCGUAGAUAUUAGGAGGAACACCAGUGGCGAAGGCGACUAUCUGGCACGUAACUGACGGUGAGGAGCGAAAGCGUGGGUAGCAAACAGGAUUAGAUACCCUGGUAGUC
rnacentral:rRNA from 1 species